UAUUGAGUUAUUUCUAUUUUUUUGUUCUACUUUUCUGUUGGUGGUGUUCAAGAGAAACUAAAAAAAUAUUAUGCAUUUGAAUUAAUUCUUUAGUAACAUAGAAUGAAAUCUCAGGUGGAGUCUUUGAAUCUAAGGUAACUUUCCUCAUAAUCUAAAGUAAUUCCAAAAAUUUCUGGGAUCCUUGACAGUGAGUGCCAAGCACUCGGACGCAAAGGUUGUCCCGUGGUCAGCCUGCUGGUGUAGUGUUUGGAGAUUGAUGUGAUGUGUGGAAGGUGCCUCAGUUCCUGCGUGUGUGUCGCAGUUUGUGUUGAUCUGUCUUGGCCUCAUGGUGUGGGAUUCUCAGCCUAUUGGUGUAGCAUUUGGAGAUGGAAUUGAUAUGCGCAGGGUGUCCCAGUCCCUCUGUGUGUAGCAGUGUGUUUGUUGCUCUGUCUGGGCCUCAUGGUGUGAGAUUGGCAGGCUGGUGGUAUAGUGUAUGGAGAUGGAUGUGAUGUGUGCUGGUUGCCUCUGUCCCUGGAUGUGUGUAGCAGUGUGUGUUGCUCUUUCUGGGCCUCACGGUGUGGGAUUGUCAUCCUGCUGGUGUAGUGGUUGGAGAUGGAUGUGAUGUGUGCAAGGUGCCCCCGUCCCUGUGUGUGUGUAGUAGUGUGUGUUGCUCUGUCUGUGCUUCAUGGUGUGUGAUUGUCAUCCUGCUAGUGUAGUGUUUGGAGAUGGAUUUGAUGUGUGCAAGGUGCCUCAGUCCCUGGAUAUGUUUAGCAGUGUGUGGUGCUCUGUCUGGGCCUCAUGGUAUGGGAUUACCAGCCUGCUGGUAUAGUGUUUGGAGAUGGAUAGAUAAUUUAAGACAAUUUAUCAUAUGUAUUAUUUUCUUUAUUUUUUUAUUUACUAUUAUCAUAUUUAUUUUUUAAUUAUUAAAGGGAUGCUGGUGUAGUGCAUUAAGAUGGAUGUGAUGUUUGCAAGGUACCCCAAUCCCUGUGUGUGUGUAAGAGUGUGUGUUGCUCUGUCUGGGCCUCAUGGUUUGGGAUUGUCAGCCUUCUGGUGUAGUGUAUGGAGACUGAUGUAAUGUGUGCAAGGUGCCCCAGUCCCUGUUUGUGUGUUGCUCUCUCUGGGCUUCAUGGUGUUGGAUUGCCAACCUGCUGGUGUAGUGUAGUAGUGUUUGGAGAUGGAUAUGUUUAUCAUAUGCAUUAUUUAUUAUUAUUUAUUUAUUUACUAUCAUAAUUUUUUUCAUUUUUAAAGGGGAGUACAUUUCCAUUCUCACCUUUUCAAUCCUUUGUGUUUGGGACUCAGUAGUUAGUGCUUCUACUGACAAAAAAAACGGGAGAUAUGGUCUUGUUUCUUUACUGUGGAAAACUGUCCUUGUGAGUGUGACGUGCUGAUCUUGUGGGUCACAGGUCUCGCCUUCUGUCACCAAACAAACAAUAAAGAAUUGAUAUUAUUUCGUGAAUACAUUUAUUUCCUUUAACCUAAAUAUGUAAUAAUACGGUUUUAUCUGUGUCUCCUGAUGUUAUCGCACUUUUGGGUAAUUCUUGAUUCAUUUUGUUCUUGCCAUUAUCGCAAUACUUGAUAACAAUCACUAUUAUGCAAGUAUCGCCAAAUUUACCGAAACAUCAGGAGAUCUACUGAGAUUCUUAUGGAUCUCAGGAGAUUCCGAAUUAUUACCAUAUGCUACACAAUUUAAUAGGCUCAGAAAAUCUACAGAAAUUGUGCUUCAGGCAGUUGUAUAUCCAUUAAAGUUGUAAGUCUAAGAGAGAAAGACCAAAUUAAUACAAGAGAACAAAUUAUGAGUGAAAAAGAAAGAAUAGAGACGAAGAAUUAAAUAAAUACAUAAUAUAAUACCGAACAAAUUAUUAAGAAAAAAAUAUAUAUAUAUGUAUAUUUAUUGGAGGGCCCAGUAACAUUUUAUACACUUUGACACAAAACGUACAUUAACCUUUAGGAGACAAAGUUAUAUAGAUAUUUUAAUGAGUCUACCUUAUUUUGUUCAAGACAAAUAAACGUUCGAUAAUAAAAAGAGCCUUGAAAUCACACAAGCUUUUCAUUAACUUCACAGAUCGUCAUACAAUAAGUGAAGAGGUAUAGAGUGUAAACACCGCCAUGACCAUUUCAAUUUUGGCGCUUAAAUUAGAGAUGUAGAUAUUUUGACAAUUACAAUUAUAAUGGCUUAUAAUUUAAUUUUACAAAUUCAUACUUCAUUAUAUUUCACUUACUUUAUUUUGUAUUACAAUAGCAUACUAUGAGAGACGUUGGUGGACAUUAUUAUAAGCGGAAAAUGUAACUUGUGGAUUUUUGGGUACGUAGUGCUUGCUAGCAGAGGAGGGUCAGUACACGUCAGACAGGGAGCUGUGGUGUUUAAGGGCGCUGUGUGCAGCUUCCUUAUUUAACCUGGAUUUUCUCUCAACAAGACAGUGAAGCGUGCCAUGGGUGCCUGUGUGUGCUGGUGCAGGCGUAGUGCCUCCCGGGAGGUGCCUGGAUCUGCUCAUGAGAGCCAGGAAGGCUCAUAAUACUGUAUUGUAGUUGUGGGGCUCAGCAUGACAGCGCCUGGCGAAGCUCUAUGUAAGGUACAAUGCGAGCCAAUGUUACCUGGACGUCCAUUUGUAGGAGUACCAAACCCAAGACUGCCUUAUCCCCAUCUGCCUCCCCCCCACCCCCCCCGUACUCCAUGGCCCAGCAGCGACAUCAUUCCAUGUUUAAUAUGAUGCCAGCUGACGUAUUCCUGACACGGCUGUACCAGGAACAAGAAUCUGAUGGUGAAGGAAGGGGUGACGGUGAAGGUGGAGAGGUGCUGGAAGGGCUUCGUGUAGGGCAGGUGUUCUUAACCUUUUGAUGGUUCCAUACCCCCAGUGGAUUGUCGAAUAUGGUCCCAUACCCCCUUCA